UACGGGGGGAGCAAGCGUUGUUCGGAUUUACUGGGCGUAAAGGGCGCGUAGGCGGCCACCGCAAGUCGGUUGUGAAAUCUCCGGGCUUAACCCGGAAAGGUCAGCCGAUACUGCGGGGCUAGAGUGCAGAAGGGGCAACUGGAAUUCUCGGUGUAGCGGUGAAAUGCGUAGAUAUCGAGAGGAACACCUGCGGCGAAGGCGGGUUGCUGGGCUGACACUGACGCUGAUGCGCGAAAGCUAGGGGAGCGAACGGG
rnacentral:rRNA from 1 species